UGGGGAAUAUUGGACAAUGGGCGCAAGCCUGAUCCAGCCAUGCCGCGUGAGUGACGAAGGUCUUCGGAUUGUAAAACUCUUUUUGGCGGGGACGAUAAUGACGGUACCCGCAGAAUAAGCCCCGGCUAACUUCGUGCCAGCAGCCGCGGUAAUACGAAGGGGGCUAGCGUUGUUCGGAAUUACUGGGCGUAAAGCGCGCGUAGGCGGACUCUCAAGUCAGGGGUGAAAUCCCGAGGCUCAACCUCGGAACUGCCUUUGAUACUGUGAGUCUUGAGCUCGGAAGAGGUGGGUGGAAUUCCUAGUGUAGAGGUGAAAUUCGUAGAUAUUAGGAAGAACACCAGUGGCGAAGGCGGCCCACUGGUCCGAUGCUGACGCUGAGGUGCGAAAGCGUGGGGAGCAAACAGGAUUAGAUACCCGGGUAGUCCCUGAGCGGGCUGGCAAGGCGCAU
rnacentral:rRNA from 1 species